rnacentral:rRNA from 1 species
AGAGUUUGAUCCUGGCUCAGAUUGAACGCUGGCGGCGUGCUUUACACAUGCAAGUCGAACGGCAGCAUGGGAGCUUGCUCCUGAUGGCGAGUGGCGGACGGGUGAGUAAUACAUCGGAACGUGCCUUAUAGAGUGGGAUAACGGAUCGAAAGAUUUGCUAAUACCGUAUAAUAUCUGAGGAUAAAAGCUGGGGAUCAGCAAUGACCUGGCGCUAUAAGAGCGGCCGAUGGCCGAUUAGCUAGUUGGUGAGGUAAAGGCUUACCAAGGCGAUGAUCGGUAGCUGUUCUGAGAGGAAGAUCAGCCACACUGGGACUGAGACACGGCCCAGACUCCUACGGGAGGCAGCAGUGGGGAAUUUUGGACAAUGGGGGCAACCCUGAUCCAGCAACGCCGCGUGAAUGAAGAAGGCCUUAGGGUUGUAAAGUUCUUUUAUCUGGGAGCAAAGUGUAUGUGUUAAUAGCGCAUAUAUAUGAGAGUACCAGAGGAAUAAGCACCGGCUAACUACGUGCCAGCAGCCGCGGUAAUACGUAGGGUGCGAGCGUUAAUCGGAAUUACUGGGCGUAAAGGGUGCGUAGGCGGUUAUGUAAGUUAGAUGUGAAAUACCUGGGCUUAACCUAGGAACUG